UGAAUAUUCCAUAUUCAUAUUCCAUAUUUCUGGGAUCUCCCUCAAAACUGCAUUGUAGGAUCAUAGAACAGCUUGGGUUGGAAGGGACCACAAGGAUCAUCAAGCUCCAAUCCCCCUGCUGCAGACAGGGCCACCAGCUCCCAUAGCUCAUGCUAGACCAGGCUGCCCGUGCGUUAAAGAAAACCCGGCAGAAGUCAUGGUGGAGAGCUGGGUGCUUAGCUCGGGACAUGGACUGCCUGGUGACAUCACAAGCACGGUGACAUCACAAGCACUGUGCUUGGGGCCGUGGCUGCCACCAGUGAGUGCCACAGCUGUGAGCGCUGCGCAGGAGUGCGGACACGCUGUGUCAGCCCUUGUCCCUGCUGGCAGUGAUAGUGGUGGUAGCUGACGGGUGCUGCCCGAUCUCGCUGUGUUGCUCAGCCAUUAGGCUGCUGUGUUAGCUGGAAGGGAGAAGGACUGCAGCUGUGCCUGGUAAUCCAGAACUGUAGUGAGUCAUAUCAGUCUCACAUAUCAGUCAUGAACGGACUGACCACACCGCCGAGCAAAGAAGCCGAUGCAAGUGGCCUUCCUCUGAAGAGCGGCCUUGCAGAAAGUCCGGGGAGCCAGGCAGUGGUUGAGAAGGCACCAGGAAGAGUUGCCAUCCCAACUUCCACCCAUGGCCUGGCUGGACAAAAACGCAAGCGAUCUGACGAGAAGAAGGGAAAAGCGAAGGAAUAAUCCAGCAAAG